rnacentral:rRNA from 1 species
CCCUUAGAUGUUCUGGGCCGCACACGCGCUACACUGAAGGAGGCAGCGUGUACUCCUGGAUCGAAAGAUUUGGGUAACCCGCGAAUCUCCUUCGUGCUAGGGAUUGAGGUUUGCAAUUAUCCUUCAUGAACGAGGAAUUCCCAGUAAGUGCAAGUCAUAAGCUUGCGCCGACUACGUCCCUGCCCUUUGUACACACCGCCCGUCGCUACUACCGAUUGAAUGAUUUAGUGAGGACUUCGGACUGGGACCGAUGCGGCUUUCGGGCUGCGUCGGUAUUCUGGAAAGAUGCCCAAACUGUAUCAUUUAGAGGAAGUAAAAGUCGUAACA